rnacentral:antisense_RNA from 1 species
CUUCACCGAGCCCAGCCACAGCGGCCUUCCGCCGGCCCGUUCCCGGCCGUAGGUGGCCAGCAGCGCCUGCGCCUC